rnacentral:rRNA from 1 species
CAGCCGCCGCGGGAAUACGAAGGGUGCAAGCGUUAAUCGGAAUUACUGGGCGUAAAGCGUGCGUAGGUGGUGGUUUAAGUCCGUUGUGAAAGCCCUGGGCUCAACCUGGGAAUUGCAGUGGAUACUGGAUCACUAGAGUGUGGUAGAGGAUAGUGGAAUCUCCGGUGUAGCAGUGAAAUGCGUAGAGAUCGGAAGGAACAUCCGUGGCGAAGGCGACUAUCUGGGCCAACACUGACACUGAGGCACGAAAGCGUGGGGAGCAAACAGGAUUAGAUACCCCGGUAGUCCCUGUCUCUUAUAC